rnacentral:rRNA from 1 species
GGGUGCGAUCAUACCAGCACUAAAGCACCGGAUCCCAUCAGAACUUCGAAGUUAAGCGUGCUUGGGCGAGAGUAGUACUAGGAUGGGUGACCAACUGGGAAGUCCUCGUGUUGCAUUCC